UGUUCGUCCCGUUCCACCAUACCCCUUCCCCACAGGUGGUUUCCCUCCUCCUAUGACAGGUAUGUCCUCAUCACUACAGUAUAUCCUUCUCCUCCUCACUACAGUAUAUCACUACAGUAUGUCCUCAUCACUACAGUAUAUCCUCAACACAACAGUAUAUCACUACAGUAUAUCCUCCUCCUCCUCACUACAGUAUAUCACUACAUUAUAUCACUACAGUAUAUCCUCCUCACUACAGUAUAUCACUACAGUAUAUCCUCCUCAUCACUACAGUAUAUCACUACAGUAUAUCCUCCUCAUCACUACAGUAUAUCCUCCUCAUCACUACAGUAUAUCACUACAGUAUAUCACUACAGUAUAUCCUCCUCCUCCUCACUACAGUAUAUCACUACAGUAUAUCCUCAUCACGACAGUAUAUCAUUACAGUAUAUUCUCCUCCUCCUCACUACAGUAUAUCACUACAGUAUAUCACUACAGUAUAUCACUACAGUAUUUCUUCCUCCUCACUACAGUAUAUCACUACAGUAUAUCACUACAGUAUAUCACUACAGUAUAUCCUCCUCCUCCUCCUCACUACAGUAUAUCGCUACAGUAUAUCACUACAGUAUAUCACUACAGUAUAUCCUCCUCACGACAGUAUAUCAUUACAGUAUAUUCUCCUCCUCCUCACUACAGUAUAUCACUACAGUAUAUCACUACAGUAUAUCACUACAGUAUAUCCUCCUCCUCACGACAGUAUAUCAUUACAGUAUAUUCUCCUCCUCCUCACUACAGUAUAUCACUACAGUAUAUCACUACAGUAUAUCCUUCUCCUCCUCACUACAGUAUAUCACUACAGUAUAUCACUACAGUAUAUCACUACAGUAUAUCCUCCUCCUCACUACAGUAUAUCACUACAGUAUAUCCUCAUCACUACAGUAUAUCACUACAGUAUAUCCUCCUCAUCACUACAGUAUAUCACUACAGUAUAUCACUACAGUAUAUCCUCCUCAUCACUACAGUAUAUCACUACAGUAUAUCACUACAGUAUAUCCUCCUCCUCACUACAGUACAUCCUCCUCCUCAUCACUACAGUAUAUCACUACAGUAUAUCACUACAGUACAUCCUCCUCCUCAUCACUACAGUAUAUCACUACAGUAUAUCCUCCUCAUCACUACUGUAUAUCACUACAGUAUAUCACUACAGUAUAUCCUCCUCCUCAUCACUACAGUAUAUCACUACAGUAUAUCCUCGUCCUCCUCACUACAGUAUAUCACUACAGUAUAUCACUACAGUAUAUCCUCGUCCUCCUCACUACAGUAUAUCACUACAGUAUAUCCUCCUCUUCCUCACAGUAUAUCACUACAGUAUAUCACUACAGUAUAUCCUCCUCCUCAUCACUACAGUAUAUCACUACAGUAAAUCCUCAUCACGACAGUAUAUCACUACAGUAUAUCCUCAUCACAACAGUAUAUCACUACAGUAUAUCCUCAUCAUUACAGUAUAUCCUCCUCUUCCACACUACAGUAUAUCCUCAUCACUACAGUAUAUCACUACAGUAUAUCCUCAUCACUACAGUAUAUCACUACAGUAUAUCCUCCUCCUCCUCACUACAGUAUAUCACUACAGUAUAUCCUCAUCCUCUCUGUCUCCAGGUGGCUACCCUCUUCCUCAUCCACACUACAGUAUAUCACUACAGUUUAUCCUCCUCCUCUCUGUCUCCAGGUGGCUACCCUCCUCCUAUGCCAGGUGUGGUGUCUCCAUGGCCUCCUAUGAUGGACCAGUCUAAACAGUGGGACUACUACCCUCCAGGACCGGGACCGGGACCAGGACCCAGACGGGAGGACAAGAGGGAGAAGGAGAGAGAGAGACCCAGGGAGAGACCACAUGAGAGGGAGAGAGAGCGAGAGCACAGCCCCUCCACUAUGGCUUACAACAGUGACGAGGAGCGGUACCGCGGUUACCGGGAGUACCAGGCGGAGCGUGGCUACAGCGGCGGUGGUGACCGCGGAGGAGGUGACCGCGGAGGAGGGGAGCGUGGAGGCGUAGACCGUGGAGGUGACCGUGGAGGGGGGGAGCGUGGCGGUGACCGUGGGAGUGGUGGUGAGCGUGGUGGUGGAGGCGGGGAGCGUCACAGAGACAGGUCGAGCCGUGAGAAGGAGGAGAGACACAGAGAGAGAAGACACAGAGAGAAGGAGGAGGGGAGACACAAGUCAUCACGCAGGUACGCCCCACACUCACUCACUCACUCACUCACACACUCACUCACUCACUCACUCUCACACUCACUCACUCACAUUAUUUCACCUCUUUGUUGUAUCAGAAUCAGAACUGUCUUCCUUUUCUCUCUCUCUCUCUCUCUCUCUCUCUCUCUGUCUCCUCUCUGUCUGUUUCUCUCUCCUCUCUCUCUCCCUCCCCCUCUCUCCCUCUCUCUCUCGGUCUCUCUCUGUCUCUCUCUCCCUCCCCCUCUCUCUCUGUCUCUCUCUCCCUCUCUCUCUCUCUCUCUCCCUCUUUGUCCCU
rnacentral:lncRNA from 1 species